UCUAUUCAUGCACCGUACAGUAUGUGUGUUCAUCAUGUUGUCUUCGAUCUGUUGUUGUUCCUGCAUGGAAAGGAGCAUCGAGGAGACUGUCCCCAUUUGCCAGCUGACACAUGGACACCUAAUGAAUUAAUGGGAUUUUGUUAGAUCUCAUGCUAACACUUAAAGGAGCCACCUGCUUCAAAGGACAAGGGCUGUGAAAGUGUAGUCUUUGAAAGAAUGCAUCUGCAUCUCUCCCCCAAAUAGACUGAUCACAAAGAAGCCAAAAUAGUCUUAUUGCCAAAUCCAAAAUAAAAUUGCAACCAACUGUGUGAUAUUGAGCCAAUUUGAGUAAAAGAAAACCUAUUUCAAAUGGAACAACUUUUCUGGCCUUUGACAUACUGCAGGUUUCAGAAGAGGCCUGUCUUGAAAAGGACACAUCUGUAUACAAGGAGUUCAGCUGUUAGCAUCAAACCUGCCCUAAGUGCUAACAUACUGUAGUGCCUCUAUUAUCUGCACAUGGGCAGAGUCGGAUAUUACC